AAAAAUUGUCAAGCGACUGCUAACUUUAAUGUCAUUUAAAAUUGACUUGAUCAAAAUAAAAGCUAUGUACAUUGAUUCUAUUUAUAAACAGAACGAAGAAAGUUAUAAAAGAAAAGCAAGAAAACAAAGAGUACUUGAGAAGUAUUAAUAAAUAUUCAGAUAACUAAAAAGUAAAACGUAGAUUUUCUGUCAUUGAACAUUAGUAUCGUAAACUGCUUGGCGAUAAAAGUUGACUCAUCGUUGAAAUAAUUACAAAAGUAAAAAAACAAUUGGAAAAACAAUAACCAGCGUGUAUGUCAUUAAUUAAUAGUUGCUAUAAAUAAUAGCGACCAUUAUUUAUACGCAAUGAUCUGGUAAUAAAUAAAGUGGUAAUUCAAAAACACGUGAGUUAAUCUCUGGUCAGCUGAUGUUUUGAUCAACACGAGAAUACCUACUAAUUGGAGGUCGUUUUAUUAUGCCAAAAAACAAUAAUGUUCUCUAUUUACUGAACAAUCAAUAACUUUGAGCCAGAGGUCGUUAGACUUGAGAUCAAUAUAAAUAAUUCAAUAUUAUUAUUUUAUUUUUAUUUCAGAUAUUUAAACUUUUGAUAUUAUUACAAACCUCCUGGUGUUGUUGAAUACAAAGUACCUCCUGGUGUAGAUGAGUAAUCUACUGGUAAUUGAUUCGGGUCAGAAAUAACAAUUCUUUUAGAAGGUAUAUUUUGAUUUUGAGUAACUUGGCGUGCGAUUGGUGAUGCUGACAUUGUUAUUAUUUUUAUUUAACAAUAGAAAAAUAAAAUACACGGUUGACUUAUAAGAUAAACCUUGAAGAGAACACCUGAGGGAAUAAAAAGUAUUUGCGUAAUUCAACGACUGUUCUUAUAAUGUCCAAGUAACCAAUAAGAGGGAAACACACAAAGGCUAAGUAAAUAGUAUGCUCAUGUAUAAGUAGCUGAAGAAAAAAAUACAGAAGCUACUGACUAAUGACUUUGUUUUUAAAGUAAAAACAAGACUUUUAUGUGAUAUGUACAAAUGAUACGUAAUUUAAAGAGCUGUUUGAGUUUCUUACCAAAAUAUCUUUGUAAGAAUAAUAAUAAUUCUUAUGAUUAUUUUAAAACUGAUGCGAAUCACAGCUUACAAAUUUAAAUUUAAAUUCACAAAACACUUAUUAGUUAGUCAUCCUUAUCCUGGUCAGUUGAGUUAAAGAGAGCUACUGGUUGUUGAAUAUUUAAAUAUUGUCAACAGCGUUAAAUAACUUGGGUAAUAUUAAUGCUGAAUGUGCACUGUAAGCUGUAAGCUAGCUGAUAAGAUGCAAGCAUUUAUAUAGAAGCUGACUAGACCGGAGCGAAAUUAAGAGUGGGGUAAAAAUAAAGUGAACUGAGAAUAUCGCGGUCUCACUUUACACUUAUAUUAUUUUUUAUCUUUUCAAUAUAUUUUCACUGCACACUACCCUCACAUAUCUCUAAAUGCGACUUAAUUUUUUUU